rnacentral:misc_RNA from 1 species
CAUAAGCAGUUUUGGCACAAGUAGCUCGUUUCCAGAACCACCGCUCGCUGUCUUGUCACUUUUCGCCUCCCGUGCCUGGCUGAUCACUGUGGGGUACAUACUUGGACGCCGCUUGGCACUGACACAUGUCGUCAUUGUAACGAGGGCUCUACAAAGAGUUUCACCACUACUUGUAGUGGGGGUGACGGAGGAUACGCGCAUGAGUACGAGAGUACAACUUGUGCCCCGCGAUGAACCGGCUACCACCCUGGUAAAUACGAAAACGACUCCAAACUGUGUCACCUUGAAAACUGUCUUGAAGGACAAGCUGUGUGACAGUUGACGUUAGCCAGGGCAAGUAGUCGAGCCAAGCUUGCUACAAUACAAAGUACUGUACCCCGAUAAUGUACAGCUGUCGUAAACUGUAGUGAAACCGGGUUGGCGAUCAAUUGAUUCCAACUUAUAACCAUCUCCAGCAUGGCUCGAAGUGUUUACAGUACAUGCUCGUAUGGAGGAACUGUUUACAGUACGAGUACAUAGAGCACAUCCGAGUGUCUCACAUGGUAGAUACAGUUGAGAAUGUACCAGGGUAUCUGUUUGA